UAUGUGAUCGUCUCUCGCAUAUCAAUAAGCGGAGGAAAAGAAACUAGCAAGGAUUCCCCUAGUAAUGGCGAGUGUAGCGGGAAGAGCUCAAAUUUGAAAUCUUAAAGGGUUUCCCUUUACGAAUUGUAGUUUAAAGAAGUGUUUUCUGUUGAGGUUUUGGUAAAAGUUCUUUGGAAUAGGACAUCAUAGAGGGUGAGAAUCCCGUAUUUGACCUUUACUUUCAACUUUGUGAUACACUUUCAAAGAGUCGGAUUGUUUGGGAAUGCAGUCCAAAAUGGGUGGUAAAUUUCAUCUAAAGCUAAAUAUUGGCGAGAGACCGAUAGCGAACAAGUACCGUGAGGGAAAGAUGAAAAGAACUUUGGAAAGAGAGUUAAACAGUACGUGAAAUUGUCAAAAGGGAAGCGUUUGACACCAGUGUUGUUUUUCUGAAAAUCAAUUAAAGAACUGUUUAUGCUAAGUUGUUUAGACUUUAUCAGCUAACUGUUUAGUUUUGAGCUUUUCUUUAAUGCACUUUUCAGUUAACAAGUCAACAUCAAUUUCUUUUGCUGUAAAAAAGCUUGAGGAAGGUGGCUUGAGAUUCGUCUUAAGUGUUUAUAGCCUCUUGCCUAUGCAGUCGGAGAGAUUGAGGUCUGCAGCGUAGAUCCUUCGGGGCUAAAUGCAUUUGUGCUAAGUUAUAGCAUUUUAUAGACAACUUGUUGACUAUGAUUUGUCUUGUAGCUUACUCGCUUAUGUUAUUUUACCUACGCUUAGGAUGUUGAUAUGCAUGACUGAUAU
rnacentral:rRNA from 1 species